ACACUCCUGCGGGAGGCAGCAGUGGGGAAUUUUACGCAAUGGGGGAAACCCUGACGUAGCGACACCGCGUGAGCGAAGAAGCCCUUUGGGGUGUAAAGCUCUGUCAGCUGGAACGAAAACAAUGACGGUACCAGCAGAGGAAGCAUCGGCUAACUACGUGCCAGCAGCCGCGGUAAGACGUAGGAUGCGAGCGUUGUCCGGAUUUAUUGGGCGUAAAGAGUUCGUAGGUGGUUUGUUAAGUUUGGUGUUAAAGAUCGGGGCUCAACCCUGGGACUGCACUGAAUACUGGCAGACUCGAGUGUGGUAGAGGCUAGUGGAAUUCCCAGUGUAGCGGUGAAAUGCGUAGAUAUUGGGAAGAACACCGGUGGCGUAGGCGACUAGCUGGGCCAUAACUGACGCUGAGGAACGAAAGCCAGGGGAGCGAAUGGGAUUAGAAACCCGGGUAGUCCCAU
rnacentral:rRNA from 1 species